rnacentral:rRNA from 1 species
GACGAACGCUGGCGGCGUGCUUAACACAUGCAAGUCGAACGGAAAGGCCCUGCUUUUGUGGGGUGCUCGAGUGGCGAACGGGUGAGUAACACGUGAGUAACCUGCCCUUGACUUUGGGAUAACUUCAGGAAACUGGGGCUAAUACCGGAUAGGAGCUCCUGCUGCAUGGUGGGGGGUGGAAAGUUUCGGCGGUUGGGGAUGGACUCGCGGCUUAUCAGCUUGUUGGUGGGGUAGUGGCUUACCACGGCUUUGACGGGUAGCCGGCCUGGGAGGGUGACCGGCCACAUGGGGACUGAGAUACGGCCCAGACUCCUACGGGAGGCAGCAGUGGGGAAUAUUGCACAAUGGGCGGAAGCCUGAUGCAGCAACGCCGCGUGCGGGAUGACGGCCUUCGGGUUGUAACCCGUUUUCGCCUGUGACGAAGCGUGAGUGACGGUAAUGGGUAAAGAAGCACCGGCUAACUACGUG